rnacentral:lncRNA from 1 species
CAGAACUUAUUGUUUUUGUCAUAUCUGGAGUUAUAUAGAUCCAAUGAACCUGAUAUUUGAACCAAUGGAAAGCUAACUCAAGUGGAAAUAAUUUAUCUGUUGAUCAUAAGUCCAAAUUCGCUGCACAAUAUAUCUGAAAAUUGGCAUCAAGUUGCAUGUUCCAGCUGUCUUGAAGCUGGACAGAAACAAGUUGUAUUGCUGAAUUAUGGAUGUUCCUUUGCCUAUAAAAGGGGACCUUGGCCACGAUUUUGAAGAAUAAAAAAUUCUCUCCAUCAUAUUCUAGUUUCCUUCAUUUUCUUUGUAACAUUUCACUAUGUAUUCCUAAACAUUUAGCUAGAGCUAGGGGUGAAACUUUGAUGAAUGUUUAGUAUUGUUUUUGAUCUUUCAUUUUGGUCUUCAAUGUUCAUCUUCUUACUUGGUUGAAGUNAUCA